rnacentral:rRNA from 1 species
AUUGAACGCUGGCGGCAGGCCUAACACAUGCAAGUCGAACGAGAGGCGCACGGGUGAGUAAUGUGUGGGAAACUGCCUGAUGGGGGGGGGUAACUACUGGAAACGGUGGCUAAUACCGCAUACCAUCAGAUGUGCCCCGAUGUGAUUAGCUAGUGGGUGGGGUAACGGCUCACCCAGUCGACGAGCCCUAGCGGGUCUGAGAGGAUGACCAGCCACACUGGAACUGAGACACGGUCCAGACCCCUACGGGAGGCAGCAGUGGGGAAUAUUGCACAAUGGGCGCAAGCCUGAUGCAGCCAUGCCGCGUGUGUGAAGAAGGCCUUCGGGUUGUAAAGCACUUUCAGCGGGGAGGCGUUACCCGCAGAAGAAGCACCGGCUAACUCCGUGCCAGCAGCCGCGGUAAUUC